rnacentral:rRNA from 1 species
GUGCCAGCAGCCGCGGUAAUACAGGGGGGGCGAGCGUUGUUCGGAAUUACUGGGCAUAAAGGGUGCGUAGGUGGCUUGUUAAGUCAGGGGUGAAAGUUUUCGGCCCAACCGGAAAAUGGCCUUUGAUACUGGCGAGCUCGAGUGCGUGAGGGGUAACCGGAACGAGCAGUGUAGCGGUGAAAUGCGUAGAUAUUGCUCGGAAGGCCAACGGCGAAGGCAGGUUACUGGUACGCAACUGACACUGAGGCACGAAAGCGUGGGGAGCAAACAGGAUUAGAUACCCUCGUAGUCC